GUCAAGUGAAUAAGAGCAUAUGGUGGAUGCCUUGGCGAUGAUAGGCGACGAAAGACGUGAUAGCCUGCGAAAAGCUUCGGGGAGCUGGCAAAUAAGCUUUGAUCCGGAGGUGUCUGAAUGGGGAAACCCACCCUUAGGGGUAUCCUGAGCUGAAUACAUAGGCUCAGGAGGCGAACCGGGUGAACUGAAACAUCUCAGUAGCUCGAGGAAAAGAAAUCAACCGAGAUUCCGAUAGUAGUGGCGAGCGAAAUCGGAAGAGCCUGUUAGUGAUAGCACGAUGUUUAACGGAACGACUUGGAAAGGUCGGCCAUAGCGGGUGAUAGCCCCGUACGUGAAAAGCAACGUGUGGUACUGAGUUAACGACAAGUAGGGCGGGACACGUGUAAUCCUGUCUGAAUAUGGGGGGACCAUCCUCCAAGGCU
rnacentral:rRNA from 1 species